rnacentral:rRNA from 1 species
UGGGGAAUUGUUCACAAUGGGCGCAAGCCUGAUGACGCAACGCCGCGUGGGGGAUGAAGGUCUUCGGAUCGUAAACCCCUGUCGAAUGGGACGAAAGACUCGCGAGUGAAUACUUCGCGAGAGUGACGGUACCGUUAAAGGAAGCCACGGCUAACUCUGUGCCAGCAGCCGCGGUAAUACAGAGGUGGCAAGCGUUGUUCGGAAUUACUGGGCGUAAAGGGCGCGUAGGCGGCCCUCUAAGUCAGACGUGAAAUCCCCCGGCUUAACCUGGGAACUGCGUCUGAUACUGGAUGGCUUGAGGUUGGGAGAGGGAUGCGGAAUUCCAGGUGUAGCGGUGAAAUGCGUAGAUAUCUGGAGGAACACCGGUGGCGAAGGCGACAUCCUGGACCAAUUCUGACGCUGAGGAGCGAAAGCCAGGGGAGCAAACGGGAUUAGAUACCCUUGUAGUCCCUGAGCGGGCUGGCAAGGCGCAU